rfam:Beta vulgaris subsp. vulgaris Bvchr5.sca007.con0095.1, whole genome shotgun sequence.
ACGAAUUGAUGAUAAGAUUUCAUUAGUCUGUCAAUCCCCUGAUCCAUUUUAAUGGUGUGAUGACACAAUGAUUCUCGACAGGUUCUGAUCGU